CGCUGUUCAGGGAUGCUCCUGGAUGUGGCAUGCUGAGACUCUGGGUGAGGGGGGAGCUAGCGGUUCUGCCCAUACUGUGGCUCUGGAAAAAGUGGCGGACAGCAGGAGAUACAUGCUUGAUACUCCCUCUCCUAUGUAAGGGGAAGUAGAUGAGAAGUGGGUCUGAGAGAGAAUGAGAGCUAUUCUGUUCCAACUGCAGCCCAAAUCAGGAAGUUGAAAGCAUCUGGAAAUGUUCAAAAACAGAAAGCUAAGAAAAAAAUUGUGAGCCUUGGUGUCACCAUGCCUCAGUGAGUCACAACUGAGAAUACUAAAUUCAAGACAAACUGCUGAGAUACCACCCCAAAACUGGUGGUUAUUCUUGCAUAAGAUAUAUCAGACCAACAACAAAAGUAAACUUCUGUUUCACCACACUGGCUAACAAGAAGUCAGAGAAGCAGUCUCCUUACGUAUUCCUGUUCUUGUUUCAUCACCAAAAAAACUAAACUUAAUGAUGAGUGAUUAUUUAAAACCAAUUUCAUCAAAAUGUUCUUCUGAUUCCAAAGGACCAGCUACAUACCCAAGUCAAUAUACAACUCAGAUCUUACAUAAUAAUCACACUGCUGCCAAUCCUUUAUUAUCUAAAAUCUAAAGGUUUAUUAUAAAAAGAAAGAAAGAAAGGUGAGAGUUAAAAUUGGUUACAGGAAUCAAAUAUGUACACUAAUUGCAAAGUUAUUGGAUCAGACUUGUAGCAGUGAUUAAAUAAACGUCUAGCUUGUUAAGUCUUCGAUUGCUCCCAAAUCACUGGAAGAUCCUCAGUCCCUUGGUUAGAAUGUUCCCAUUAGUACAAGUUCAUAGUCCAGAGAUUUGAGCAGGAAAGAGGCAAAAUGGAGAUGUUUUCAGGGUCUUUUAUAGCUCCUGCCACAUGGAGGGAAACUCAGUGUUUCAAACAAAGUCGUCCCCACAGCUUGUGGAAAAAUACGGGUAACAAGAUGGAGUUUAGUGUCACAUGGUCUCGUCACAUGCUCUUGCCUGCUCCCCUGAGUCAUAGCAGGGGCCAUCACCCAUACUUUAAUUAGAACGUUCACAUGAAAGUCCAUCAGGUGUGGAUAGAUGUAUUCCAUGCUCCAUUGUGAGUUAAGUGUUCCUUGAUGGGCCAUUUAACCUGAAUAGUCCCUUCAAGAUGUGCAGGCUAAAUACCUUCUGGGUAUUACCACAUGAGCAAACACAUUUGAAAUACAGGUACAUGGUCAAUAUUCAUAACUUCGUAUACAAAAAUGAUACAUGCAUUCAAAUAGUAUAAUCAUAUUCAGCAAAUCAUAACAUUUUCAUAGACAGUUUACAUGACAUACUUUGUCCAAGAUUUGCUGCAAUUAUAUAACAGUGGUAGCAACAAUGGUCUACAUACUCAUAUUUUAAUCAUAUAACAUCACAUUUGAGAGGAUAGGGCAGAAGGAGAAUUUGGAUCAAGCUUUGAAUAAAAGUUUCACUAAUCUUUUGCCUUCUCCAAAAGCAGUUUAACCACCAAUAUUAAUAGUCUCCUGUCAUCCAAAAGUGACAUGAGCUCAUGUGACUAUUUGCGGAUGCUUUGGAGCAAUUUUAGUUUCUCAUUAAUUUUAACAGUACUUUGUGUAAACCAUAAAAAUUGUUACCCGUAAACUCCUUUUUGUCAGUAUACAACACUGUAUCUGAUAGAUACCCUUUUAAGUAUUAUAGACUGUACUCCAAAAUAAAUUAGAAGUCAAUGUAGGUUGUGUAAGAUAGAUGCAGACUGGAGCUUGAUACCAGAACUACAAUCUCACUGAUUUCAUAAUCUAUUUAUCACCACAUUGUGUCACAAGUUCCUCUGGAAGAAAGACAUAUAAAGGAGAAAAGUUGACCCCAAAGGGGAUAAUCCAGGUGAAAGUUCAACUAGAUAGACAAUCUGUUGUUUUCCUCUUUUUUGUGAUUAAAAGUUCUUGGCUUGAGAGGCUCAAGGUGAAUUGAACCGAGAUCAAGGUUUCACCAAAGCACCCCAAAAUCUUCAAGAAAUACUAGACAGAUCCUCCAAAGUUUUUGAAUAAGAGAUUGGACAGAUAAGCAACAUGUCAGUGAAGCUCACUUUUAAGUCUGAUAGCCAGCCACAACAUUCCAAGCCCAGAGUUAUGCCGUAUGUUCUGAAGCUUCUGGAGAAAGGUGUUUUGGACCACUUAAUGAACACUGGAGUCCUGUCACCAGUUUCACAGAGUGAGUGAGCUACACCCAUUGUACCAAUGAUCAAGAAAGAUGGCUCAGUAUGAAUAUGUGGCUAUUUCAAAUUGACUAUGAAUCCAGUUUCAUGUUGUCAUAAACAAAUGGUUAGGGGUUAAUGUCUCUUUUACCUGUAAAGGGUUAAGAAGCUCAGUAAACCUGGCUGACACCUGACCAGAGGACCAAUAAGGGGACAAGAUACUUUCAAAUCUUGGUGGAGGGAAGUCUUUGUUUGUGCUUUUUGUGUUGUUCGUUGUUCGCUCUCGAGACUGAGAGGGACGGGAUAUCAUUCCAGGCUCUCCCAAUCUUUCUGAAUCAGUCUUUCAUGUUUCAAAAUGUAAGUAAUAGCCAGGCAAGGCGGAUUAGUCUUAUGUUUGGUUUCUCAACUUGUAAAGGUUUCUUUCUGUUGGAAGGAUUUUUACCUCUGUUUGCUGUAACUUUGAAUCUAAGGCUGAGGGGAGAGUCCCUCUGGUCUAUAUGAA